UAGCGUAUAUUAAAGUUGUUGCGGUUAAAAAGCUCGUAGUUGGAUUUCUGUUGAGAACAGCCGGUCCACCUCUUGGGUGAGUAUCUGGAUUGGUCUCGGCAUCCUCUCGAAACUCGUUGCUGCGCUUGAUUGCGUGGUGCGGUGUUCGGGACUUUUACUUUGAGGAAAUUAGAGUGUUCACGGCAGGCAAUCGCCUUGAAUAUAUUAGCAUGGAAUAAUACUAUAGGAUCUUGGUUCUAUUUUGUUGGUUUCUAGGGCUAAGAUAAUAAUCAAUAGGGACAAUUGGGGGCAUUCGUAUUACGGCGUC
rnacentral:rRNA from 1 species